rfam:Aspergillus calidoustus genome assembly, contig: SCAF1
GUCUCCGUGGCGUAGCUGGCUAGCGCAUACGACUGUUAACUGGCUGAUAAUCGUAAGGUCGUCAGUUCGAUCCUGACCGGGGACG